rnacentral:rRNA from 1 species
GACGAACGCUGGCGGCGUGCCUAAUACAUGCAAGUAGAACGCUGAAGGAGGAGCUUGCUUCUCUGGAUGAGUUGCGCACGGGUGAGUAACGCGUAGGUAACCUGCCUGGUAGCGGGGGAUAACUCUUGGAAACGAUAGCUAAUACCGCAUAAUAGUAGAUGUUGCAUGACAUUUGCUUAAAAGGUGCAAUUGCAUCACUACUAGUAGGACGUGCGUUGUAUUAGGUGGUUGGUGGGGUAAAGGCUCAACAAAGCGACGACACAUAGCCGGCCUGAGAGGGGGGUCGGGCAAACUGGGACUGAGGCACGGGCCAGGAUCCCUCGGGGAGGAGCAGUAGGGGAUCCUUGGGAAUGGACGGAAGUCCGGACGAGCAACGCCGGGGGGGUGGAGGAGGUUCUCGGAUCGUAAAGCUCUGUUGUAAGGGAAGAAAGAGUGGGGGAAUGGAAAGUUCACACUGUGACGGUAUCUUACCAGAAAGGGACGGCUAACUACGUG